AUUAAAUAAUUCACUAGGCUUUUCUUCUGGAGAGAUUUCCAGCUGUAGCAGAAAGCAAGCCAAGGGAGAGGGUCUAGGAAAUGUCCCCGCUCCGGAAUCUUUAUUAGGUGAAACUGUGUCACACUGACACUCCUGCUGCAAACUAUUCAUUUAAUUUCCAUCUUUGUGGAUAUUUUGUUUUCCCCUAAAUGUCAGCAUUUGCUGAGGAAGAAAACAUUUUUGGUUGUUUCUUUAGAAGCUUCUUACAGUCUGCCUCCACCUGCUGGAAGACGCAAACGAAUGCUAACUGCAGGCAGACAGCGCACAUCCAGAGUCACUGCCACAUCACAGAAGAAGGAGAAAUCCCGGGCACACGGGCUCGAGGCUGACGCAUAAACAUCGUGUGUGAAUUGAAUACUGUGCAUCAGCCUACUGCAAAACUGUGUAAUCAAGCUUCUUGCUCCGCCUCGAGAAUUCCACUUCUCUGCAUUUAUAAAAAGGAUGAAAUUUUGAAACAAGAAUAAGGAAAUGGUCAUUUGAUUUCAAGGUGAAAAACAAGGGUGCAGAGACAGCUGAGGAUGGCGUGUGCUGCCGUGAAGAGGCGUCUCAGAGAUCAGGGACCCACCAGCUGCCAGGAGGCUGCCCGCCCAGCGUGGUUUUUGGAAACCAGAUAAGAUUUUUAUUUAACUAGCUACACACUUACUUUGUGUUCUUCCCCUCCCUGCCUUCUCCUUACAUUAAAAAGAAAAAAGGACAUUAGGAUAUUUUUCAGAAAAAAAGGAAAAGAAAAGAAAAGCUGAGUUAUUUGUACCUUCAGCAAAAUAAAAUAAGACCCUGGGAACCUCCAGCUGUAACGUGACCCUCUGCUCUGCUGGGUGGCAAGAGGCUCAGGGAAGCAGCCUUGCAGCCCAGACCAGGGUGCGAGAGGUGGUGGUCAGGCUAUUCGGGUUUCAUCUUCCUGAAUAUUGCCCCAAUUCUGCAAAUCUGGAUUCCCCACCUUCAGAGCCAGUGCACGAUCUGGCAAUCCAGUUAUGCAUGGAAAAUGCAGGCUGGUGUCACCGGAGGAGACUGACGCUUGAUGUCCCUGGGCACAUGGCCUGACUUUCAGGCUAGAGAAAAUGGUGGCUAAGUUUUUGACGCUGGGAGGAAAUGCUUAUAGAGCAGAAUCUAUCUGCUUAAAGAGACUGAGAGUCCUUCAAGUUACAGAAUAAAAAAAUAGGAAGGGUGAAAUUCAGUGCUACACAAAACUUCCCUUUUUCCCCUAAAAUGUAGCAAAGACGUAUUUUAUACUGUUCUUUUGAUCCAUAAUUGUUUUAACUGAUAGCUUAAAGUCCGGAAGUUCAGGCAGUGUGACACACGGAAGCAGACUGGGAGCAAACGCCAUGAGUUGAUUUUUUACUUCUAUAGCAAGUCAGAAAAUUGGAGAGUUAAGAACUGCAAAUUCAUGAGGAAUCCCAAGUGCGAGUCUUUGGGGAAAACAUCAUUUAUUUCCAUUUGCAGGUACCUGCUCACCCUGCAAAGCACCACCUCCUGGUGCUGCGGGGCAGAGAGAAGACGCCUCGGCACAGGACCCUGGCAAAUGAGCCUCAGAGCGUCCUGCCGUCCUCUGGGGAGGUCACUGGGACUCAUCCCAGGGAGCUCCUGUUCUACCCUGGGGUCUCCCAUGGCUCCCAGGAGAAGAGCCUUGUCACAAAGGCAGCCACUGCAGAGCAACUGAAAGUGGGUGACCCUGCGUCUCCUGGAGCCCCACCCUCACUGGCACCCCUGGGGCCAUCCACGGCCUGCAGCUCUGCCAGGAGAGGUUACUAGGUGGCGGCUGCUGGCAGGAACGGCCGAGGCGGAUCUGCUGGGAACCCUCCAGCCUCCCGCUGGCAAGCGAGGGCUGCCUGCCUUGCUGCAGUGCCAUCCAUGUUCAGGGGGACGCACGCGGGGUUCAGCCCACCUCCGGGGCCCUGUGCCUCCUGCCCUGGUUUGAAUAGGAAGCUCCAUUUCCAAACGAAGCAUUUUCUGUAUUUUGGUAAGAUAUAUAUUUGCACGCACGCACCCUCACACUCACACACCCUGCCAUGCAGACCUCACAUGCUGACGAUCCUGCUGCUUGCCAAGGGCAUCCUGGACACACAUGCUCUGGAAGCAGAAAUGCCCUCUUUUGAAAGUCUGGCAGGCCAGCAGGCGGAGGUCACCAAGGAGCCAGCACUGUGCAGUCCCGAUGCCGCUGCCCGAGGAGCCGCUGCCCGAGGAGCCGCUGCCCGAGGAGCCGCUGCUGCGGCAGAGACUGCUGCUCUCGCUGGACACUAGACACACACCCCCCACCCUGAGGGGGAUCCUCCCCACCUACUUCCCUUCCAGAAAACAGACCCCGGCUCCUCCAUCACAUCAAAACAGAAGACCCCUGGACACUCAGUAGUGGAAAUGAAAUGGCACUUGGUGGUUUUUUAGGUCCCCUUCAUUUCCUUGUUUCUCACCUGAAGCCUGGAAUAGCCCACAUACAGGGACAUGGGCACUCGUCACCCCCAGCACUGUGUGUCUGGCACAGUGAGGGUUUCAGGUGGACCCCCGGCCACCCAGUAGGAGUCCCAGCCCAGGGAGAAGAAGGGGUCCUGGCAGCAGUGCCCAUCUCUGGAGGCGUCCUGCCCGGGCUGCUGUGCAGCACACGCCCACCUUCUGCACGUGAUGGAUGUGCUUGCGCCCUCAAUCCAUCACGUUGCUAACACUGUGCUAAUUACAGGGGCAACAGUGCAUAUAAUAAAAAGUUUAUGCCAUCCGUGCUCGGCACCCCCGUUGCUGAUCUCCAUCGUCAUGUCUGACCAAAGACAUCCAUCCCAAACAUGGCCUUCAUUUUAAUGCCACGCAUAAGAACGAAUCCAGAAAUCAAAUAGGCGGCUUCCCUUCUGACAGCUCCAAAUCGGAUUCGACUUUUUGUUCCAUUUUCAUCAGAGACGGUGCUUCAGCACAAAGGGCAGGUUGGGAAUUUGGGCAGAGAACAGGAUUGUGCAGCACCCCAGUUUUCCCCAGGAAAGGAAAACGGCCAGUAAAGAAGGUUCCCGUGGAGGAGCCUCGUGCCCUCGUGGGUCCUCAUGGGGCUGGUGAGCCGCCCGGAGCUCCCUGGCAUAUUGCCUGCACUCCUGCCAGGAAGCACCCACACGGGCCCUGUCCAGCCACAGCAGGCAGGGAAGAGGGAAACUGGUCAGGGACAGAGCGGCGUCUGGAGCCUGCUGGAAGCCCUGUGUGUGUACACCCGGCAGCUGGCCCGGCCUCCCUUCGGGCCUGUGCUGGGGUUCAUGUGCGGAGGCUGCUUUGACCAGCGGAGGGCUAGGGUGGGGUAAGGAGGAGGGGACACACGGAGCCCUUGGCAUGGAAUCUUGGUUUCCUCUUGACAGCGCUUCGGAGGUGGUUGGAAGCUGUUCCAGGCCUGCAAGGGGUGAGCCUUUGCAGAGAGCAGAGUCGGACGGGACAAUAACAAAGAAGGGCCUCCCACUGCCUCCCUUAGGGCCACGUGGGAGGCUCCCGCCCAUCCAUGGGCCAUCCAACGGCUGGCUCUCCAAAGGCACGGUAGCAUUUGGCCUCUGAUCCCUGGAUCCAGAGGAGGCAGGGGCUCUGAGAGGAUGGGAUCCCACUUAGCUCAGAGACGUCAGAGACAUCCGUGCACAGCACAGCGGUUCUGCCUCCGGCAUACUGAGCGGCCAGUCACGGCAGGCUGGGGCAUGGCAGGGAGAGAGGAAGGAGCUGCUGCUCAGGGAUCAACAGCAGCAGGAAAUGGGGCACCCCCACUGCACCCCGCCAGGCACAGAGGCCACCUGGCAAAGCUGAGCCCAGGCAGCACAGCAGUGGUGGGGUCCCCAGUGGCUGGGGCGAGCUUCCUGCUGGCGUCCCCUUAUCUGGAGAGUGGGAGAGGGGACGCAGCCUGUCGUACUGCUUGCAGACAGGGAGCAAUAAGGGACUCAAUGCAUGGCCCCUAAUUAUCUGUACAGCCUUAAUGGCCUGGAGUUCAUUACAGUCAGUAUGAAAAAUAAAGGACUGAGUCACAGCACCCAUA